rnacentral:rRNA from 1 species
GACGAACGCUGGCGGCGUGCUUAACACAUGCAAGUCGAGGGCACCCAGGGGCAACUCUGGGUGACCGGCGAACGGGUGCGUAACACGUGAGCGACCUGCCCGCUUGUGGGGGAUAGCCGGCCCAACGGCCGGGUAAUACCGCAUACGAUCUUUUGGGGGCAUCCCUGGGAGACGAAAGCAGCGAUGCGCAGGCGGAGGGGCUCGCGGCCUAUCAGCGAGUUGGGGGGGUAACGGCCCACCAAGGCGAUGACGGGUAGCUGGUCUGAGAGGGUGGCCAGCCACAUUGGGACUGAGAGACGGCCCAGACUCCUACGGGAGGCAGCAGUGGGGAAUCUUGCGCAAUGGCCGAAAGGCUGACGCAGCGACGCCGCGUGCGGGAGGACGCCCUUCGGGGUGUAAACCGCUGUUGCCCGGGACGAACCUGGCCUUUCGAGGCCACUGACGGUACCGGGUGAGGAAGCACCGGCUAACUCCGUGCCAGCAGCCGCGGUAAUAC